CGAUCUUCGGCCUUCCACUUCGGUAAGUUACCUUCAGAUUCAUUUUGUUUAUAAUGUUUUUUUUUCAGACUCGGAUAUAGAUUACGUGUCACAUGACACCAAUCUUGACUCCGAUGAGCCACUGUCUGCAUUCGCUCAGCGGUUAUGGCAACCGAACUCUGCGAAGAGUUCGGUCCUGGGGUUAAUGUUCCUGACCUGGGACGCUUCUUCCUCGUCCGCGAAAAUCUAUCACUGCUUCGGCACUGCCCCGGAUGACGUCAUCGUCCGGGGCACAAACAGUUAAACGCAUGGGUUGAGACUGCAGCGGCGGAAGUUAACGCACUGUUUGUGGUGCUUCUCCUCAUGUCGCUGUAUUCGAAGGCCAAGCAUGACUUCUGGGCGUGAGACUCCCUCGCCACAUCAAGUGGAUUACUAAUGGCCUUUAUAAACUUAUUGAGACGGCGGUCGUCAAUUCCUUCCUGGUGCACAAAGCACUGGGAGGGACGAAGGGGCUCGUUCGCGAGAUCCUGCCGGAUUUCCACCAGUUCACGAGGGUGGAAAGUACCGUUUGUGGGCCAUACCUGGGAGAGGGCCGUCUACAUGGUGGACAUCAUGUGCAUACGCAUGUGCUAGCACCUGGCCCAUGUUAUCGGUGUUGUAAAGUCUGCUACGCCUGAGGUGUGCGUAAAGAGACUCGCACAAUGUGCGGCCAUUGUAAAGUGACCUUGUGCCAGUACAAUUGUUUUUAGGCCUACCAUACGCUUGAAAACAGUGCAUGGUGUACAUACAUAAUAAAAUAGAUAUAAUAAUAAUAAAA